rnacentral:lncRNA from 1 species
UUUUUUACCACAAGAAUAACUGAAUAAACAAAAAAAGAUAAACACAAUGAGCUAGAAUUCAAGUUCAACUAGACAUUUUGCAUGUUUUGGCUAAACUUAUUUUGGGCCAGAGUCUUGCCUCUCUAAGCAAAGAUCUCAUGGUUCCAAUAACCAUUUGGCGGAGAAGAUUCUUUAAUACACACAUUUCAGUUAUAUAUAAUAUUAAGCAGUAUAGUAGACCAACAAGGUGUUCUUUUAACCAAACCCCUGCUGAGACAAACGGGUACUAAGGACACGAGGAAUAGCUGCAGGGAGCCAACUGAAUACUUCUAUUUGCACCUCCUCGAAUUCAAGUGUAAAAUCAUUUUCAAUACCUUGACCGUCUUCU